UACGUAGGGGGCAAGCGUUGUCCGGAUUUAUUGGGCGUAAAGAGCUCGUAGGCGGCUUGGCAAGUCGGGUGUGAAAACUCCAGGCUCAACCUGGAGAUGCCACUCGAGACUGCUAUGGCUAGAGUCCGGUAGGGGACCACGGAAUUCCUGGUGUAGCGGUGAAAUGCGCAGAUAUCAGGAGGAACACCGAUGGCGAAGGCAGCACUCUGGGACGUGACUGACGCUGAGACGCGAAAGCGUGGGGAGCAAACAGG
rnacentral:rRNA from 1 species